rnacentral:rRNA from 1 species
UUAACACAUGCAAGUCGAACGCUGAAGCCCGCAGCUUGCUGUGGGUGGAUGAGUGGCGAACGGGUGAGUAACACGUGAGUAACCUGCCCCCGAUUUCGGGAUAAGCCCGGGAAACUGGGUCUAAUACCGGAUAUGACCAGAGGACGCAUGUUCUGUGGUGGAAAGUUUUUCGAUCGGGGAUGGGCUCGCGGCCUAUCAGCUUGUUGGUGGGGUAAUGGCCUACCAAGGCGACGACGGGUAGCCGGCCUGAGAGGGCGACCGGCCACACUGGGACUGAGACACGGCCCAGACUCCUACGGGAGGCAGCAGUGGGGAAUAUUGCACAAUGGGGGAAACCCUGAUGCAGCGACGCAGCGUGCGGGAUGACGGCCUUCGGGUUGUAAACCGCUUUCAGCAGGGAAGAAGCGAAAGUGACGGUACCUGCAGAAGAAGUACCGGCUAACUACGUGCCAGCAGCCGCGGUAAUACGUAGGGUACGAGCGUUGUCCGGAAUUAUUGGGCGUAAAGAGCUCGUAGGUGGUUGGUCACGUCUGCUGUGGAAACGCAACGCUUAACGUUGCGCGGGCAGUGGGUACGGGCUGACUAGAGUGCAGUAGGGGAGUCUGGAAUUCCUGGUGUAGCGGUGAAAUGCGCAGAUAUCAGGAGGAACACCGGUGGCGAAGGCGGGACUCUGGGCUGUAACUGACACUGAGGAGCGAAAGCAUGGGGAGCGAACAGGAUUAGAUACCCUGGUAGUCCAUGCCGUAAACGUUGGGCACUAGGUG